GACGAACGCUGGCGGCGUGCUUAACACAUGCAAGUCGAACGGAAAGGCCCUGCUUGCAGGGUACUCGCGUGGCGAACGGGUGAGUAACACGUGGGUGAUCUGCCCUGCACUUCGGGAUAAGCCUGGGAAACUGGGUCUAAUACCGGAUAGGAGCCAUAUUUAGUGUGAUGGUUGGAAAGUUUUUUCGGUGUAGGAUGAGCUCGCGGCCUAACAGCUUGUUGGUGGGGUAAUGGCCUACCAAGGCGGCGUCGGGUAGCCGGCCUGAGAGGGUGGACGGCCACAUUGGGACUGAGAGACGGCCCAGACUCCUACGGGAGGCAGCAGUGGGGAAUAUUGAACAAUGGGCGCAAGCCUGAUGCAGCGACGCCGCGUGGGGGAUGACGGCGUUCGGGUUGUAAACUCCUUGCGCUAGGGACGAAGCUUUUUGUGACGGUACCUAGAUAAGAAGCACCGGCUAACUACGUG
rnacentral:rRNA from 1 species